rnacentral:rRNA from 1 species
AGCAGCCGCGGUAAUUCCAGCUCCAAUAGCGUAUAUUAAAGUUGUUGCAGUUAAAAAGCUCGUAGUUGAAUUUCGGGAUCGACGGGUCGGUCGCGCCUUUGGUGUGUACUGGCCCUGUCGGUUUCUCCCUUCUGACGAACCACGAUGUCAUUAAUUUGGUGUCGUGGGAAAUCAGGACUGUUACUUUGAAAAAUUAGAGUGUCUAAAGCAGGCAUUCGCUUGAAUACAUUAGCAUGGAAUAAUGAAAUAGGACGUUUGAUCUUAUUUUGUUGGUUUCUAAGAUCGACGUAAUGAUUAAUAGGGAUAGUUGGGGGCAUUAGUAUUCAAUUGUCAGAGGUGAAAUUCUUGGAUUUAUUGAAGACUAACUACUGCGAAAGCAUUUGCCAAGGAUGUUUUCAUUAAUCAAGAACGAAAGUUAGGGGAUCGAAGACGAUCAGAUACCGUCGUAGUCUUAACCAUAAACUAUGCCGACUAGGGAUCGGAUGAUGUUAAUUU